GUCUUUUUGAUUAUAAUUUAAAGUCUAACCUGCCCACUGAAUUUUUUAAAGGGCCGCGGUAUUUUGACUGUGCAAAGGUAGCAUAAUCAUUAGUCUUUUAAUUGAAGGCUUGUAUGAAUGGUUGGAUGAGGUAAUAACUGUCUCAAAUUAAUAAAUAAUAAAAUUUUAUUUUUAAGUUAAAAAGCUUAAAUGUAAUUAGAGGACGAGAAGACCCUAUAGAUCUUUAUAAAUUAAUAAAUUUUAAUUUUUUAGUUAAAAUAUAUUUUUAUUUAUUAAUAUAUUUUAUUGGGGUGAUAAAAAAAUUUAAAUAACUUUUUUUUUAGUUAAACAAUGAUUUUUGAUUAAUUGAUUCAUUAUUAAUGAUUAAAAGAUUAAGUUACCUUAGGGAUAACAGCGUAAUUUUUUUGAAGAGUUCAUAUCGAUAAAAAAGAUUGCGACCUCGAUGUUGAAUUAAAGGUUAAUUUUAGGUGUAGAAGUUUAAAGUUUUGGUCUGUUCGACCAUUAAAUC
rnacentral:rRNA from 1 species